CUGCGAUCAUAUCACGUUGAAACACCGGCUCCCAUACAUGCACCCGUUAACUGAUUUUUGAAGUUAAGCAACGUCGAGCCUGGUCGGGACCUAGAUGGGUGACCGCUUGUGAAUACAAAGUGCUGCAAA